CUUGACGUGGUGCCUGAGCUUUCCCAUUUGGCCAGAUGCGGUGACUAACCUUUCCAGUUGUGAUUUUAUCUUAGCUGUGAGCUAGCUGAGAGAUUGCCUGGUAUUUCGGGGCUGGACUGUACUGUUAAGUCAGGAUCAGACUGAUAUGCUUCAGGAAAGUUCUUCUCUGUGAACGGCACAUGUUGAGCAAAAAGAGGCUGCUUCUAGGGUGGACAUGCAGAGACAAGCAGGAUACGUAUCUUUCUAACAUGCACCGCUACAG